AUUGAACGCUGGCGGCAGGCCUAACACAUGCAAGUCGAACGGUAACAGGAAGAAGCUUGCUUCUUUGCUGACGAGUGGCGGACGGGUGAGUAAUGUCUGGGAAACUGCCUGAUGGAGGGGGAUAACUACUGGAAACGGUAGCUAAUACCGCAUAACGUCGCAAGACCAAAGAGGGGGACCUUCGGGCCUCUUGCCAUCGGAUGUGCCCAGAUGGGAUUAGCUAGGAGGUGGGGUAACGGCUCACCUAGGCGACGAUCCCUAGCUGGUCUGAGAGGAUGACCAGCCACACUGGAACUGAGACACGGUCCAGACUCCUACGGGAGGCAGCAGUGGGGAAUAUUGCACAAUGGGAGCAAGCCUGAUGCAGCCAUGCCGCGUGUAUGAAGAAGGCCUUCGGGUUGUAAAGUACUUUCAGCGGGGAGGAAGGGAGUAAAGUUAAUACCUUUACUCAUUGACGUUACCCGCAGAAGAAGCACCGGCUAACUCCGUG
rnacentral:rRNA from 1 species